rnacentral:rRNA from 1 species
UCUUUUAGAGGAACAUUAAAAGUCUGGUCUGCUCACUGAAUUUAGGUUUAAAGAGCCGCGAUAUAUUGAUCGUGCAAAGGUAGCAUAAUAAAUAGUUUCUUAAUUGGAAGCUGGAAUGAAUGAUUAAACGAAAAAUUAACUUUUUUUUUCUUAGAAUUUGGAAUUUAAUUUUUAAGUGAAAAAGCUUAAAUGUAUAUAAAAGACGAGAAGACCCUAUAGAUUUUUAUUAAGAUUGCAUUAAAUGAAAAAUUGUGUUUUGAUUAUUUAGAGUAAAAUUAAUUUGGUUGGGGUGAUUAAAAAAUAAAUUUAACUUUUUUUAUGAAACCUUUAAUUUAAGAUUUGUUGAUCCUUAAAUUAAGAUUAAAAGAUUAAAUUACCUUAGGGAUAACAGCGUAAUUUUAUUUUAGAGUUCUUAUCAACAAUAAAGUUUGCGACCUCGAUGUUGAAUUAAGAUAAAAAGUGGGAGUAGAAGCUUACUGAUUUAGUCUGUUCGACUAUUAAAUUCU